GUAGGUGGCAAGCGUUGUCCGGGAAUUAUUGGGGCGUAAGGCGCGCGCAGGCGGUCCUUUAAGUCUGAUGUGAAAGCCCACGGGCUCAACCGUGGGAGGGUCAUUGGAAACUGGGGGACUUGAGUGCAGAAGAGAAGAGUGGAAUUCCACGUGUAGCGGUGAAAUGCGUAGAGAUGUGGAGGAACACCAGUGGCGAAGGCGACUCUUUGGUCUGUAACUGACGCUGAGGCGCGAAAGCGUGGGGAGCAAACAGGAUUAGAUACCCUGGUAGUCCACGCCGUAAACGAUGAGUGCUAAGUGUUAGAGGGUUUCCGCCCUUUAGUGCUGCAGCAAACGCAUUAAGCACUCCGCCUGGGGAGUACGGCCGCAAAGGCUG
rnacentral:rRNA from 1 species